GUCAGCAAAAUUGUCAGCAAAAUUCCCUGAAGAAAUGCUUGCCAUUGAAAGACUCCAGUCCUGUGAUUGGAAAACCACCAUAAUACAUAGGAAGAUAACCCGGGGAUGUUUGGACUUACUUGUCAACAAGAAGGUGAAGCAGAAACUUCCCACUUCAUUUAAAACAAUUAAUUUGAAAGAAAAUAUAUAUCUGGUGACAGAAACUCUGGAGACAGAAGAGGAGGAAACCCUACCAAGAGAAAUGCGCUAUAAAAUUUGGAACUCAUUUCUUAAGGGCAAUGACUAUGAAGAAAAGAGCCAACGCAAAAUCACCGUCCCUGCCAACAUGAUCCUGGCCUAUUGAAAGAAGCAGCUCAUCUUCGAAAAUGGGUCAAUAUGGGGACACACCCUAAACAGAAUGUGAUUGGCUGAACUUCCCCAUCAAGCCCAGAGGUGGGAGAGGAAGAAGGCACUAGAGCCAGAUUGGCUCUGGCCACACUGACUGGCAAUGCACCCACCAUGACAUCAGCCUGCCCUGCAGGAUUGCAAUCCCAGUCUCCUAACAGAUUGGCGAUAGCUUCUCUUUCCUUUCCUUGGUUGGGAGCAGUGUGGGGACUGGGAGGGAGGGAAAGGAGGGCAUGAAUACAGAAACCACUACUUUCUUAUUCUUUCUUUUUUCUUUCUUUCCAACUCUUGGUGUUGGCUUAGUUAUUGACUUCUGGAAUGAAAGAAGGUCUUUUCAAGGAGAAACGGCUCUAGGAAGACAGGGAACUGCUGGAACUUUGAAGGAGCACGUAGAGAACACAGGGAGAAGCCUGCAGAACUGGAUGAGAAGCAGAAGAAUGGGCUGUGCUCUGCCACUGCGUGCACCAACAAGGAAGGUUUCUGACGUCUUGAUCUCUGAUGCUUCGACGCAGACUGAGGGCCAGAAGGUCCUCUCAUUUGCACCCUUUAUGAUAAUACCGGGUGCUUGGUAGAAGCACGUGCAGAAGCCAUGCUGGUACUCUUGGAUGCCUUAAUAGGGGAGCAGGAAACAUUUGGGAUGUUCCCACCAGGCUUCCUGGGAGCUCUCUGAAACCCUCUGAUGAUGUAUGUGUGGUGAGCCACUGAAGAUCGCCACCAAAGCCACCAUGUCCCUCGCCUUUUCUACUAACAACCUUUUCCUGCUUCCAGCCCUAUCUGGCAUAGCCAGGUAUGUGACCGAAGCACUGGAGAAUGGGAAGCUGCGUUUGCUGAGGGACCAGGUGGAGUCAAUCCUCUAGAAGAACUGGGGCGAUCGGCUUAGCCAGGUUGUGCACUGUGACCCUGAGGCACGGAGCUUCUGUAUCCUAUAUAUUGCUUGCUCUCUCCUGCCAGUUCUGAACCCUAAAAAGUCCGGCUGUGUCUGUUCCUAACCUAAUGUUGGUCUGGAUCCUAUGCAUGGUCUCUGAUUUAAAGUGGCAGAUUGGGAA